rnacentral:rRNA from 1 species
UACAGAGGUCCCAAGCGUUGUUCGGAUUCAUUGGGCGUAAAGGGUGCGUAGGCGGCGCGGGAAGUCGGGUGUGAAAUCUCAGAGCUCAACUCUGAAACUGCACUCGAUACUGCUUUGCUUGAGGACUGGAGAGGAGAUUGGAAUUCACGGUGUAGCAGUGAAAUGCGUAGAUAUCGUGAGGAAGACCAGUGGCGAAGGCGGAUCUCUGGACAGUUCCUGACGCUGAGGCGCGAAGGCCAGGGGAGCAAACGGG